AGAUGAAAAUUUACAUGCCGUCACCAAACUCUCCUCUCCCCCAAUCCCCACAGCCGCCACACCGGUCCUCCUCCCACCUCCCUUCUCGCCGUCGUGAGUCGUGACCCUCCGUUCUCUUCUCCUACACCGCUCCUUCACGUCGGCAUGUUCGCACCUAGCACCUCGUCCACCCCCAAUCAUCUUUGUUGCGCAAGACCGCAGAAGGACGAACGGCGGCGGUCCGAGCGCCGCCUCCUUCGCCAGCGGCAACGGUGAACACGGGAGCAGCGGCCCCGUUCGCCCGUUCCAAGGUGAGGAACGGACCCCCUCGACCUGUCCUCUGCGGCGCCGCUCCCCUUCCUCCGUUUCCUUGAUCGCCGGCGGUGGGAGGAUACCCGGGGGAACAGAGGAGGGAGUUGGACAAUGGGGUGAAGAGGCGCAAGUCAAGCAGGAGGUGGGCAUCACCGGAGGAGCACAACCGCAUGGGGAGCGGAGGAGGUCGAUGCAGGGGGCUCAAUAGGAUGGUUAGAGAGCGCGCAGCAUCUUGUGAGACAAGUCGUCUGCUAAGCAGAGGAUGCAGCAGCGCUGGCUCCUCCUCUCCCCACGCUAUCGCCUUCCUGCGUCGUCAUUGCCGCCACGGCCUUGCUCGCCAUCGACCUCCCCGAGUGCUUCUCUCCGCUACAUCCCCCUUUCCACGAGUUCUUGCCUUCAAUGCUAAGGUGAAAUGGCUCCUUCCGUAUUUGCCUGUAAGCUAUUCGAUGAAAUGCUUGCGUCACAACGAGUUCUUUUUCUUCAGUUUAUUCUUCCUGCUGCUAGGUCUUAGUUCUCUCAUUGACCUUGCCUGAUUUUCUCGUGGGUCUUGCAUUUGAAGCUCACGUGAAUGGCCUUUCCUUUAUCUUAUCUAUAUUAUAGUACUGUUUAAUGAAAUGUUAUGCCCGAACGAGUUCUUUCCUAUGGAAAUCAUGGGAUAUGAUAGGGGCUGUGAGGAUGUUGUUUAGUGUGAACUGCAUCUUUUUUGUUGGUGGUGGAGUUCUUUGAGCAUUGCUUAACUUGAAUGAUACAACUACUCAGCUGGGUGGCCUGAGAGCAUCGGGGUUAGGCCUCCAAAUGGCUCUUUUUGGUUGCGAUGGGGUGAGAUGCAGGUGAGGGUGAGGAGGCCAACGACAGGGUGAAGCAGCAGCCCAGCGAGUACUGCGAGCAGCAUGACGUUUUGCAUGUUCUCUUUCCUUGUUCUUCUUGUGGCUUUUUUCUUCAUCUCAUCAUUGACCAAUUCAUUGUUUAUGUGUGUAUCUAUUCUCUCCUUUUUUUAUUCGCAUGAACUGAUGUGCGUACAAGGUAAGCUUAUUCUUCUCUCCAGAUUUCAUGGAUGAGUUAAUGGUCUUGGUUAUAUGGUUUAUUCAGUCCACCUAAAGGAACAAAGUUUGCACCCUUUGACUGGUUUUAUUCGAAAAUUUUACAGAAAAAAUUAUGUCGUGAUCUCUCUACUUCCACAUGACCGUUGUUGGUCCAAGUAGCAUAUUGUUGUCUCAUGUCUGUUGCGGUUUGUAGCUUAGAUUUUUAAGACUGGGCACUGUAGUGUUGUCUGUUAUGGCUGAUUGAUAAAAUGUGUAUGUUCUUUCUCAGUAGGUACAUAUGCAAAUUUAUCUUUUUGUUGGUUGUUUUUUGCUUCUUGCAGCAUCCCGGGUACAUAUGUGAGGCUAUGGGAAUCCUUUUUUCGUGUGAUGAUGAGAGGAAUAUGACAGGCGAAACAACCAAUUGUACCAUGUGAACACAAUUGCUGGGGGAUAAGCUGGUCAAUGCGCCAAAAUCUGAAAGAAAGCGACUAAAAUCAACAUUUGAAGAUGUUCAAAAUCAAAUAGGAUGGCUACCUGAAGUACGAUCCUCAGAAAUCAUAAGAAGCAGCAGUUAUUGGUACAUAAAUGAACAGAAGGUUUUGAGUACUAAAUAGAAACGCUUGGAUCUGGGUCAGCCGGGAUCCGGUUGAUGCUGCCAUGGAGGAGCUCUCCACCGGUAGAGUGGCAAGGGCGAGCGUGUGAGCCGCUGGUGGAGCUCGAGGUGCUGGGGCACGACGGCGGUGUGCUGGUUUGACGCCCGACUCUAGGACGUGAUGGUCCGGUAUGGCCGCCUCCACAGGGCCGGGGACAGGUGCGCGCGCUCGCCGCGGAGGGAACGAGAGCUGCCCCCACUCCUUUUGUUCCCCAUCGUCGGCCUCUCCUCAUCCUUGGCAUCGUUGCUCGCGGAGGAGAGAGAGAAGGAGGCGGCGGCGACAAAAAGAAUGAGGGGGUUAGGGGAGGAGGCAGGGAUUGGGGGAGGUCGGGGGAAAGAGGAGGCUGGGGUUCCUAACAUUGUGUAUGUGUGUAUUAUUGGGGCUUUGCUACAUCAGUAGGUUUGAAUUGAUGGCUAGAAAUACAGAGUGCCAUUUUGUCUUAUGGAGUGAUAAUUAAGCAGCCAUACAUAGCUGCAAAAAGGAUUGCUCAAAUGAAACAAGUUGCUAAUUUUA